UGGGGAAUAUUGCACAAUGGGCGCAAGCCUGAUGCAGCCAUGCCGCGUGUGUGAAGAAGGCCUUAGGGUUGUAAAGCACUUUCAGCGAGGAGGAAGGAUUGAGUGUUAAUAACACUCAAUAUUGACGUUACUCGCAGAAGAAGCACCGGCUAACUCCGUGCCAGCAGCCGCGGUAAUACGGAGGGUGCAAGCGUUAAUCGGAAUUACUGGGCGUAAAGCGCACGCAGGCGGUUUGACAAGUCAGAUGUGAAAUCCCCGAGCUUAACUUGGGAACUGCAUUUGAAACUGUCAGGCUAGAGUCUUGUAGAGGGGGGUAGAAUUCCAGGUGUAGCGGUGAAAUGCGUAGAGAUCUGGAGGAAUACCGGUGGCGAAGGCGGCCCCCUGGACAAAGACUGACGCUCAGGUGCGAAAGCGUGGGGAGCAAACAGG
rnacentral:rRNA from 1 species